AAGAGAGAGUUCAAGAGAACGUGAAAUCGCUGGAGUGGAACCGGAGAGAGUUGACGUAGUCGGGUAACUAAGUUUUCCAAAGUCGCUUAAUUGUGACGGCGGAAGAUGUAUGUUGCCUAUGGCUGCGCUGACAGCACUGGCUGUGCGUUCCGAACCGCUUGCGUUGCCCACUUCGGUGGUGUCUUGUCUGCGGGUAGGUUUGUCGUGGCUAGUGUUUUAUCCUGCUUGCAGGGUGUCAGUGUGAAAGUCGACCACCUCUCCGACCCGUCUUGAAACACGGACCGAGGAGUGUAACUUGUACGCGAGUCAAAGGGUGGAAAACCCCAUGGCGAAAUGAAAGUAAAGGUCGGUUAACCGGCUGACAUGGGAUCCGCUUUUCGAGGCGGCGCACCAUGGCCCUGUCUCGUCUGCUUGCAGAUGGGCAGCGGUAGAGCGUACAGGUUGCGACCCGAAAGAUGGUGAACUAUGCCUGAGCAGGACGAAGUCAGAGGAAACUCUGAUGGAAGUCCGUAUCGGUUCUGACGUGCAAAUCGAUCGAUAGACUUGGGUAUAGGGGGCG
rnacentral:rRNA from 1 species